UGAUGUCACAUCCGGCCUUUUUGGCGGCAUAAUAUGGCAUAUGGCAGGCUCGGAGUGCACGAAGCGGUGGAUCGCUUAUUUUUCGGGCUUUUGCUUCUCGUAAGUAUACUUCGUCUUUGCGUUUGAUGUGCAUCUACUACGCGUAGCUAAUCUUUCGACUGCAUGAUGCCAUAUAUAGGUGUUCUGUGAUGAUACUUUAUAGCCAGGUUCCUCACGAGCUUUUGUGAUGCAUUGCAGGGACCGCCACACCGGCCAGCCAGUGCUACAGUGUCCUAAUGCAGAGAACGUAUAUUACACGGAACUGCGCUCCUUCAGAGUUAUUUAGAGUCUUUGUCAGAAGCACGUAACAGUAACAUUACUUGGUUACGGUGCUGCUACAUGGCAGAAUAUUUGAAUGGCAGAUGUCCCGAGUGCGGCAUGUAAGUACGUACGUACGCGCGCUUGUUUAGCCUAAAUAAGAGUUUCUAUUGUUCCCCAAUGGAAAUGCACAUUCCUGAUGCACGGUUCAGAUCUGCCGGCUAAGGGCGGUAGUGAAUAAAGUCACCAAAUUGCGGCCUCGUUGCGGUCUCGCAUUGCGGCCUCAUUGCACGGUCGGGAAAAAUUGCUUUAGAACCAAAAUUUCGCUGCGCUGUCAGUAGCCAUUCACUGAUAAGCUUUCUCCGCAGCGUAAUGCUCAGUGCAGGUGUGAUGGGGGUUGUGUGUGCGGUCGGUAUGUGACCGAUAUUCCUGAACGCAGUGUCAUUCAGCGAUGUGCACAGCUGUGGCUGAUUGUAGAAUGUGGGCUGUGACAGGAGUGAUGGGGACCAUGCUCCUGCCUCGGCCAAGGUUGCAGCGAUUUCAGAGCUGCAGGGAGCGCCCAGGCAGAACCUAAUCUCGGCCCUAUGCUGCAGCUCCAGCUUCUUGAGACGGGCACGUGGUAGUGCCACGAGUGGGAGGACGUACCGCAGGCGUGAGGUGGCUACUGCAUGGUACAGCCGCAGAGCCCACCUAGUGGUGCAGCUCUGUCCUCGGGCAACAAGCUGGGAGACUGCCUUGUGGACCCGGAGGACCUGGACAUGCAGGGUCUUGACAGCAGGCAGCCAGGUCAGCCGGUGAUGAACGUGUAGCCCCGGGUACGUCACUGCCGGGCUUCAAGGUCGCCUUCCAGUUGCAGCUGUGCAGCGGGCGGUUGCUCUUGGGUGGAGCAGCAUGGCCUCCGUCUUCCUUGCCGAGAUGGCAAGGCCAAUGCAGCUCAGUCUGCAGGACAGCAGGCAGUCGGGCCAGGUUGAACAGGAAAGGGCUCACCACUGAUCCUUGUGGGACGCCCUCUACCAAAUAGGUCCAGGGCCUGCUGAACGACUGGAUAGGGCAGGCCGUCAAAGGCCCCCUUCAUGCCGAUAAGCACCAGGAGCACGGCGUCACCGCAGGCCUUGGCCUCUUCCAGCGUGGAGACCACGUCCACGAUGGAGUCCGCACUGCAUCAGCUCCGCCGGAAGCCUAUCUGCUCAUCGGCCAGAAAGCAAUGGCCUCCAUCAGCUUGCAAGCAGCAGAGGAAGCCAUCAUCUGGUGCUGUGUACAGCAAGCACAUGCUUCGGGCAAGGAGGGAGCCAGCACCAUAUCUACAUCAGCAAGAACCUCGGUGCUCAAAAUAAACAUUUUCUGUGCAAA